GGACCUCUCACCAGGGUUACAUUCGAGAGCGGAGCCGAGCGCGGGAGACCGGACCGGAGAGGCGAGCUGCUGGUUCGGCGCGGGUCGGCUGGCGGCCCACAGCCCCAGAGCCCCCACCCAGCAUCACACUGACCCCACCCCCGCCCUCCGCCCCAGGCAAGGACCCCCAACACCAGCAUGGACUGCUGCACCGAGAGCGCCUGCUCCAAGCCAGACGACGACAUUCUGGACAUCCCGCUGGACGAUCCCGGUGCCAACGCGGCCGCUGCCAAAAUCCAGGCGAGUUUCCGGGGCCACAUGGCGCGAAAGAAGAUAAAGAGCGGAGAGCGCGGCCGGAAGGGCCCAGGCCCUGGGGGACCGGGCGGAGCUGGGGGCGCCCGGGGAGGCGCGGGCGGCGGCCCCAGCGGAGACUAGGCCAGAACUGAGCAUUUUCGAAGUUCCCGAGGAGAGAUGGAUGCCGCGUCCCCUUCGCAGUGACGAGACUUCCUGCCGUGUUUGUGAUCCCCUCCUUCCCACCAACCUGCCAGCUUCAGGAGCCCCCCCGCGUCCCAGAGACUCCCUCUCCCAGGCAGGCUCCGUCGCGGAGUCCUUGCCCUUUUAGUUAGUCUCCAGUCCAGUAUGGUUCCCAUCUGCCCUUCCUCCCCGACCUGCCCUAACCCUGUGCUCCCAAAUCUUCCUUCUUUUGCUUCUCGCCCACCUCUCCCCGCACCCAGCAUGCAGCUCUGCCUCCGCAGCCUCGGCGCGCUUCCCUGCGCGCACUGCGGAGGGCGCCCUAAGCGUCACCCAAGUACACUCAGAACAAGUCCUUUCGUUCUGUGCGCAGCCGAAAGGGGCGCCCUGCGUCUCUGUGCCGUUCCCGCCCCAGUCUAGCCCCAGGACCUGGGGCACGGAGAGGGGGGAAGAGGGUUUUCAUGGCGUCAGACGCCCCUUUCUCUGAUCGGAAGGGAAGUCCCUACCCCACGCCUGCCUGUGAUGUCCCCUCCCCUCUCCCUAGCGCACUCUUGAGAGCAGCCUUUCCAGCUCUCUUGUUUAUGCAAACGCCGAGCGCCUGGAAGGCUCGGUAGGAGGAGUCUUCCGCGGCCCCGCCCCUGCCCCGCCCCUGCUGGUCCCGUCCCCCGCAGGGCUCCUGGGGCUGUGGCCGGAAGGUUUUUAAUCUCCGUGUGUGCAUGUGACCGUGCUGGGUUGGAAUGUGAACAAUAAAGAGGAAUGUCCAAGUGUUCA